UUCUUGAGCCUGGGAGAUGUGAGGCAGAGAUGUUGUGAUGGCAGCAACUGAAGUGUCAGCAUGGGGAUAGUGUCCUGUUGGCGCAAAAGCAAAUCUGAUUUGGAAAGGUUCAUGCUGGAGAAGUUAGAAAAUGGAAGAGGAAAGAUGUGGUUCAACCAAACAUCACAAAUGUGAAUGAUAUGGGGUAUUUUGGCAACCAAGGGCAAAUUUACACUUUGAAAGAGCUUACGAAAGGAGAUGAUGUCUUGGAAGGCAACGGCUCUGGGAAAGCUUGGGAUUAACAGCAGAUAACAAAUUGUGUGUAUACAAGUUACUGUAAAGAGCAGGAAAUCAGUCAACAACCCGCUACGCCUGUGGUGGCUGGACAACUGAUGGGGACAAAGAAUGUGGCAAAGGAUGCCUGAGGUGAACUGGAGGGUGAGCUUUUGAACCAGGAGGACAGUUAAGUCCCAGGACAGACUGUGGGUGGGGUGGGGUGGGGAAUCUCCAUCCUGAAGGAUUGUGAUAUCUUGCAGGGAAAAAUGGGCAAGCAAGCGGUCAGCUGAGUAUUCCCGGAUCCUCUGGGCUUGGAGCCGGCUGGCUUUGCCUUCUGAGAACUUCCUGGCUUGGAUGUCUUUUCUUGUCCCUGUGGAAACAAAGAGUGUUUGUGGGUGUCAUUCCCUGAAAACCAGUUUAGCCAACUGAAGUGUUACAGUAAAAUUCGUCAAAGAUGUUGGGAAUACUAUAGGAUUGAUGCUCUCAUUGGAAAACUG